UACGUAGGGAGCAAGCGUUGUCCGGAAUCAUUGGGCGUAAAGCGCGCGUAGGCGGCCUCAUAAGUCCGUUGUGAAAGUCAAAGGCUCAACCUUUGAAAGCCGAUGGAUACUGUCGGGCUCGAGUCCGGAAGAGGCGAGUGGAAUUCCUGGUGUAGCGGUGAAAUGCGCAGAUAUCAGGAGGAACACCAAUGGCGAAGGCAGCUCGCUGGGACGUGACUGACGCUGAGACGCGAAAGCGUGGGGAGCAAACAGG
rnacentral:rRNA from 1 species